rnacentral:rRNA from 1 species
AUUGAACGCUGGCGGCAGGCCUAACACAUGCAAGUCGAACGGUAGCACAGAGGAGCUUGCUCCUUGGGUGACGAGUGGCGGACGGGUGAGUAAUGUCUGGGAAACUGCCCGAUGGAGGGGGAUAACUACUGGAAACGGUAGCUAAUACCGCAUAACGUCGCAAGACCAAAGAGGGGGACCUUCGGGCCUCUUGCCAUCGGAUGUGCCCAGAUGGGAUUAGCUAGUAGGUGGGGUAACGGCUCACCUAGGCGACGAUCCCUAGCUGGUCUGAGAGGAUGACCAGCCACACUGGAACUGAGACACGGUCCAGACUCCUACGGGAGGCAGCAGUGGGGAAUCUUGGACAAUGGGGGCAACCCUGAUCCAGCAAUGCCGCGUGGGUGAAGAAGGCCUUCGGGUUGUAAAGCCCUUUCGGCAGGGAAGAAAUCGGCGGGGCGAAUAACCCUGCUGGAUGACGGUACCUGCAGAAGAAGCACCGGCUAACUCCGUGCCAGCCGCCGC